AUUGCCAUCACCAUAGUCUGAAGACCUACAGCAGGGCUCUGCCUGGCUCUGCGUCCCUCUGUCCAGUGGUGGUUGCAAGCGAGGCCUCCACCGUAAUUGCCAUCACCAUAGUCUGAAGGUUUUCUGCACGUAAAGCGCAAGAUGGAGCAUGGACAAGUUUUUU